rnacentral:misc_RNA from 1 species
ACACAAAUAAUAUGUAUGGAGAAUAUACCUUUGAUACAACCUGCAUUCGUGUCGAAAUUUUAAACAUUGACAUACAUUUUAAUAUUAUCAUUUUGUUUUGUAUACAUAUCUUAGUGUUAAAUGUCAUUUUCCUGUAUAUAGACAUCAUUCUUCAGUCGGUACUUAGUACUGGGAGAAACAUUUUCAGUGCUUAUUUAUUGCUUUUAAAAUGUGUGUUGUUAAUUGUUGACAAUGGAUUGUUGUAGUGUUUUUAUGAAAAUGAAAUAAAAACAAGGAUUUAAAUUCU